ACACAAGGUAGAGAGAGAGAGCGUGUGAGAGGAAAGGUCGCGCGCCAAGUUUACCAUGAAACUUUUCUGCUUUUUCGGUGAACUUGAACAUUUCCCGGAUCAACUCGGCGAGGCGGCAAGAUGGAGGUCACAGAGGUGACGGGGGGCGUCCCGUCAUCACCAGCGAACCAAUCAGGCGCCAGCAACUCCUCACUGCCGCCUGAUUGGUCAGCUCCAUCUUCAGAGUACAACGAGGCCGAGCUGGUCCUGCUGGGCGCCGCCAUGUCCGUUCUGGUUGUGGCCAUCGUCUCUGGUAACGUGCUGGUGAUCAGCGCCAUCUUGCGCUCCCGGCGGCUGCAGACGGUCACCAACCUUUUCAUCACCUCGCUGGCGGUGGCCGACCUCAUCAUGGGCGUGGCCGUGGUUCCGUUCGGGUCCAUCUACAUCCUGCUGGGGUCCUGGCAUUUCGGGAACUUCCUGUGCGAGUUCUGGACGGCCACAGACGUGCUGUGCGUGACGGCCAGCAUCGAGACGCUGUGCGUGAUCGCCUUGGACCGCUACCUCGCCAUCACCUCGCCCCUGCGCUACCCCACGCUGCUCAACAGGCGCCGGGCCUUGGCGGCCAUUGUGGGCGUGUGGGCGGUGGCCUCGCUCAUCUCCUUCCUGCCCAUCCAUCUGAAGCUGUGGCUGUCACACGACGCGGAGGCUCUGCGCUGUCUGGCCAACGAGCGAUGCUGCGACUUCAACACCAACGCGGCGUACGCCGUGUCCUCCUCGCUGGUCUCCUUCUACCUGCCGCUGGCGCUCAUGAUCUUCCUCUACUGGCGCGUCUUCCGGGAGGCCCGGAAGCAGCUGGAGAAGAUCCGAGGGCGCGAGCGGCGACUCCUCCAGCUGCGUCUCGGACCGACCGCGGCGGAGGACGGGACCGACCCGGAGGAGUCGACGGGGGCGCCGGAGGACGAGGAGCGAGCGCGGACUGAGAAGGAGGACUGCGGCUCCAAGCGGGUGAAACUGAGCCUGAGGGAGCACAAGGCGGUGAGGACUCUGGGAAUCAUCAUGGGAACUUUCACCCUCUGCUGGCUUCCCUUCUUCAUCCUCAACAUCCUCAUCCGCUUCCUCCGCCUGGGAGACAUCAAGCUGCUCUUCAGGCUCCUCAACUGGUUGGGGUACUCCAACUCCGCCUUCAACCCGCUCAUCUACUGCCACAGCCCCGACUUCAGACACGCCUACCAGGAGAUCCUCUGCAUGCGGGGCAGACCGCGCCGGAAGGGGCGGGGCACGGGGCGGAGACGCGCGAACGCGGGCGGCGAGGUCAGACCCCACGGUCGGCUGACCCAGACGUCCUCCGCAGGGGACGUUCUGGAAGUGUCCCCGGCUGACAGUUCCAACAGCGAGAGCGGGGAUGAAACAUUGUUUACUCCGCAGGCUUGACUUUGGGGCAGACUACUUCCUGGUGCGUAAUCAUUCAGACGGUACUUCUUAUUUUAAUACUUUGGAACGAUGGGCAUUUCUGGGUGUUGUUGAUAAAUGGCUUUUGUCAGGUUCAAACCCUGAUGACAUCUAUUAAACAAGACAAGAGGCAAAGAAUUAAACAGAGACAGAAUUCAAUAUGGACUGAAUAUAUUGAGGAGUCGCCCGGACAUUGUAUCCUUCUACAAUCUCCACCACGCUCUGCCAAAAGAUUGCAUGCCUCCUUCCUUCCUUUUGGACCCUCCCCGACCACAUGGCCACCGCUGUUUCCAAAGGACAAAGUUCACAGAAAAGGUCUUUAACAAUUCACAGGAAAGAUGUCGUAAUUAGGUGACUUUACCAAGACGAGGGACUGGAAUGUUCCACAUGUACGUGGCGCAAAAAGCUGGCGUGAAGAGCUACAGCCUAAUAAUUACAGGCUUCAUGUGCACGUCGUGGAGCUCAACGUCUCCAACAAACGCCAUUGGUGGAUCUACAUCUAACAUCCACUGUAAUGAUACCAAGUACAGGCACGUAUCUAGUCGAUACUACUAUGAUUACGUCGAUACUUUUU